GACGUAGGGCGCGAGCGUUGUCCGGAUUUAUUGGGCGUAAAGAGCUCGUAGGCGGUUUGUCGCGUCGUCCGUGAAAACUCACAGCUUAACUGUGAGCUUGCGGCCGAUACGGGCAGGCCAGAGUUCGGUAGGGGAGACUGGAAUUCCUGGUGUAGCGGUGAAAUGCGCAGAUAUCAGGAGGAACACCGGUGGCGAAGGCGGGUCUCUGGGCCGAUACUGACGCUGAGGAGCGAAAGCGUGGGGAGCGAACAGG
rnacentral:rRNA from 1 species